rnacentral:rRNA from 1 species
GACGGAGGAUGCAAGUGUUAUCCGGAAUCACUGGGCGUAAAGCGUCUGUAGGUGGUCAAAUAAGUCUACUGUUAAAUCUUGAGGCUCAACCUCAAAAUCGCAGUCGAAACUAUUAGACUAGAGUAUAGUAGGGGUAAAGGGAAUUUCCAGUGGAGCGGUGAAAUGCGUAGAGAUUGGAAAGAACACCGAUCGCGCAGGCACUUUACUGGGCUAUUACUAACACUGAGAGACGAAAGCUAGGGUAGCAAAUGGG